rnacentral:rRNA from 1 species
CCUACGGGCGGCAGCAGUGAGGAAUAUUGGUCAAUGGACGAGAGCCUGAACCAGCCAAGCAGCGUGAAGGAUGACUGCCCUAUGGGUUGUAAACUUCUUUUAUAUGGGAAUAAAAUGUUCCACGUGUGGGAUUUUGUAUGUACCAUAUGAAUAAGGAUCGGCUAACUCCGUGCCAGCAGCCGCGGUAAUACGGAGGAUCCGAGCGUUAUCCGGAUUUAUUGGGUUUAAAGGGAGCGUAGGUGGAUUGUUAAGUCAGUUGUGAAAGUUUGCGGCUCAACCGUAAAAUUGCAAUUGAAACUGGCAGUCUUGAGUACAGUAGAGGUGGGCGGAAGUCGUGGUGUAGCGGUGAAAUGCUUAGAUAUCAGGAGGAACACCGGUGGCGAAGGCGGCCUACUGGACUGCAACUGACGUUGAGGCCCGAAAGCGUGGGUAGCAAACAGGAUUAGAUACCCGGGUAGUC